GAUUUUGAUCCUGGCUCAGGACGAACGCUGGCGGUGCGCCUAAUGCAUGCAAGUCGAACGGUCCCGGUUCGCUUUGGCUUAUCGGGAUAGUGGCGAACUGCUGAGUAACACGUAAGUAACCUGCCCUGAAGCGGGGGAUAAUCCCGAGAAAUCGGGCCUAAUACCGCGUACGUUUCGCGCCGACACGUCGGUGCGAAAGAAAGGCUCUCGACUUGUCGAGGGUCGCUUCUGGAGGGGCUUGCGGCCUAUCAGGUAGUUGGCGGGGUAAUGGCCCACCAAGCCGAAGACGGGUAACCGGUGUGAGAGCAUGACCGGUCAGAGGGGGACUGAGACACGGCCCCCACUCCUACGGGAGGCAGCAGCUGAGAAUCUUGCGCAAUGGGCUACAUGGCCUGACGCAGCGACACCGCGUGGGGGAAGAAAGCUUUAGGGCUGUAAACCCCUUUUCUCGGGAAAGAGAGAGGACGGUACCCGAGGAAUAAGCCUCGGCUAACUACGUGCCAGCAGCCGCGGUAAUACGUAGGAGGCGAGCGUUGUCCGGAUUUACUGGGCGUAAAGGGCGAGUAGGCGGCUCGUUAAGUCUCGUGUGAAAUCUCCCGGCUCAACUGGGAGGGGUCAUGGGAAACUGGCGGGCUUGAGGGCAGCAGAGGAAAGCGGAAUUUCCGGAGUAGCGGUGAAAUGCGUAGAUACCGGAAGGAACACCCGAGGCGAAGGCGGCUUUCUGGGCUGUCUCUGACGCUGAGGCGCGAAAGCAUGGGGAGCGAACCGGAUUAGAUACCCUGGUAGUC
rnacentral:rRNA from 1 species